rnacentral:rRNA from 1 species
AUGAAGUUUAAAAUGCCUGGGCCUAACGGAGUGAUCACCCUUGCCAGUGAUCCGGAUAUAGCACUCCGCUCCGAGAACAAGACAACAUCCUUGGCCCUUGAGGCACUGUCCGAAGCCCUCACGACCGAAGAGUUAACCAACCUGCAUACCACGGUGGACAAAAAGGAUGUGAUCCUCGAUAAGAGGCCCAAGUCCACCUAUUUGAACCCUACAGAUGAAAUAGUCAAAUUUCAAGUACACCCGACGGACCCUAACAAAGCAGCAUCCAUCGGAGCACAGAUGGACGUGACGGUCGACACCGCCCUACGAGCGUUCCUGUGUGAAAACUGA